GGAGCCAGAAAGAGAAACCAGGUUUAGGGAGGGAAAGUAGGGUGGGAUUGUCUUCCCCAACCCAGGAAUUGAGCUGUGAUAUGAAUCUGUGCCAGAUUGUACUCUUACCAGCAAAUAUGAGAGGGCCUAUUUUGCCUGCCACAUCCUGCCAAAAUUUCACUGGAGAUAUAAGUUCCAAGUUGAAGCAGAAGAUCCCAAGCCCACCGAGAAUUUCUAUGUCAGGCAUAUCUGCCUCUUUUCUCUGGUUUUCUUUGAUUGGAUUUGAGAUCUGCCCAGUGGGACCCACUUUUGGAAACUGGAAAGAUGAUUUAGGCUAAAAGCAUCCUCUGUAACGUUUUCUUCCAGUUAAUAGGAAAAGUUAGUAAUGGCUGGCUCCCUUUCUGCUUGCAUUACUCUAAGUUCUUAUAUUCUGGCUGUUCAGCAUUGAUUUAUGUUCUGAUUCCAACAGAGUGUUUCAUUGGUGAACUUGAACCCCAGUUCCCAUCACAGAAGAUUCAAAUUGUGCCUGAUCAGCCUCCAGACACCUGAGCCAAGAGACAGAUUUGCAGUAAUAUGAUUAGGGUCGAGGUAGCGAACAUGGAAUUCAGAGCAGAAUAUGUUAAUACCUUGGCUUAAAACUUCAAAAAGAUCUUCCACUGUAAAAGUGGUGGUUAAAUAUGGAGAACCAUAGGCGAGAACACGUGUGAUUUUAACAUGAGCCAAGAUAGUAGUAGACAAAGAAUGUAUUUAUAACUUUGACGGUCUACCUAUUCAGAUAAUUAAAGGGCAAAGUUAAACACUUAAAAGUUAUUUUCCCGCACAAGCAAGCCAAAGGUCCUUCUAUAGAGGCUGUAGACCUUGUGGGAAUUAAAUUCCUGACACUGAGUACCUGCUCUGGUUGCCUGUCAACCAGUAUAUUAUCCAAAACUAAUGAUUUUAUAAACUGCUUCUGUGUUUUAAGUAUAAUAAACUGAUUUGUGUAUUGAA